UCAAAUACUUUCCCUAACGUUAGUAUACCGUUUUGUAUUAAUUAGGGCGGUGAGGAUAAAAUCGUAAAAGCUGCCUUCAAUUAUGAAAAAAAUUCAAGUUAGCUUUAAAUUUUCACGUUGGGUUCUGUAAUUGGUCUCGACUUUGUAAAUGUCCAGUGGCUAAAGGACAAAAACAAGCAUUAACCCACAAACUUUAACACCCACAAAAAAAGAGGAAAAAUGGUCAUCUCUUUCCUCCAUUCAAAUCGAAGCAUGAAGCACAACAUCCCUUUCAUCUUCUCCAAUGCUUUGAUUAAAAGCCUUGCCCACGAACAAGAGACCAUGACACUGAAUCCGGACACGCCAAUAACAGAGAUGACUGAUUCACGACGGUGAUGUGGAAGAAUACCGACUAGUGACUUUCGCCGUUGACCCACAAACAAUCCCAGUGUUUUUGAGUUGCGAUGAGGUAUGAAUCAGAGUAUUUCCUUGCAUGUCAAAUUGAUUAGCUGAAAUUAGGAGAUUUGGUAGAAAAAGAAUAAUGGGUCUCGAAAAUUUUUUGACAAUGUUUCUGUUGCUUCCACUUUUUUCCAUCGAUUAGUGAUAGGUGAAUGAUUGCUGCAAAUGCAUGUUCACUUCUGAUUUUUUAUAUUGUCGUAUGGUUGAUUGAAAAUGAAUUUGAAUUUUUUUUAUUUGUUUAAGGUACUUCUACUGAUUAUUGAGCGUGGAUUCUGCUAAUUUUUGUUAAAUUAAAGAUGGGAUUGUUUUUUAGGAGACUUGCAAAACCUUCUCCGCAAUAGAUUUGGCUUCUGGCAUGCCUACUUGGGCGGAGAUAAUUGCUUAUAUGGUCAUUGCUGCCUAUAUUAGUCAGGAAUAUUGAUUAGGCAAUGUACUGGGGUAGAGAUCGAUGGGAUUUUAGAAAAUUGGUUGUAGAUGCAGCCUGAUUGUGGUCUCAAAUAGUGUGAUCUGUCAAUCAAAUGUUAUCCUCACUCCUGGAAAAUAGUAAUACUUUAGUCAAAUCUUCUAGUAAUGUAGCUUCCAAAUAUUGAGAUCAGUCAUUUAUGGAUUGGAGGACAUAAGCUACUUUUAAAAGGUCUGUAGAAACUGAGAUAAGGUGUUUGGGUCAUUGGCCUUGUCUUUCUCUGCACUAUAGAGGUGUAUAGAACUGAGAUAAGAAGGUGUGUUCAGUCACUAGCCUAGUCUUUUCAUAUGCUAUACUAAACCAACUGUGCACUGAUGUGAUUGUUCUUCCUCACACUUUCAAAAAUUUAUCAACAAGGAUACUAAGCUAGUUGCAGGCCAGUAGGGAGUUAAAUUGUAAUAAACAGCGAGUUAAAAUGGAAGAGAAAAAGUAUUUGUAGUGCAAGCAAUAAGGGAAGUAUUAUGAAGUUCCAGUAAAUUUAUAAAAUAGUUAAACCAAAUAACAUACAAUGAACUGAAAAUAUGGAAUUUACAGUCUUACAUAAUGUUGCCCAGUCUCAUCAAGAAUCCCAGCUACAGCAGAUGCACAAUUUAGUCCCUUCAUGAUGUUUUUACCUUUAGAUCUGUUGAGGAUACUUGAUUUUAUUUUUUAUUUUGAUCAUGGUAUUUAUAUGUAUUGGGUUGAAGAAAUUGUCAUGGUUUGCUGCAUUCUUUCUUGCUGGAGCAGUGAGUUAAACAAUGGGGUGUGCUUGAGUGCUUCAUUUUAGUUGGGUAUCUAUUAUAAUUCAAGCAAAAUAAGCCUCAACAGAGAAGAUACAUAAACGUCUCACUAGUUCAUGCUCUGAAACGAUAAUGCAAUGGUUAUUGAGUGUGAAAAAGUAGAUUGAUUUAGGACAUAGAAAUUGUUUUAACCUCAUGAUUAGCAUUAAUGUGUUGUCAUGUAAGUUGUAGUUAAAUUAAAGAUGGAAUUGCAUAUUGAGGAUAGAUUGAUGUCAAGAAUUUGAUUUCGUCAUAUUCUCUUGAUCUCGCAUGAUUGUUUAAAUGAUUGGUAGUUGAGGUGUUUAAAUGCUUUUAAUUGUUACUUGCCCUACAUGUUGGUGUAUUGAAUGCAUAUGUAUUUUGGUUGUUGAGUUUUACUCUCAUAAACGAUUAUGUUGUGGUAUUAGCAUUAAAGAAGCUGUAACAUGGAGUAUAUUAAUGAAUUUUAAAUGAAAUCAUUUCACAUUGUUUUCUUUUUCAUUUAUUAUUUUAUACUGACCAUAUGUAAUGGCGUUAACUUUACAGCUUAAUUUACAUGGACAUAGAGGCUGUUGUGGGUGGUAAAAUGGUUAAUAUUGCACACGUAAUUCCAGAGCAAUACACAUAGAAGAAGUUGUGGGAGGAUGUGAAUGGGUGAUAAGUUUGAAAAAUUACAGCACCAUAGUUUUUAAGAAUUUUUAAAAAGAUGUAGAAGAAGAAGAAAGUGUGUUAUGGUGAUUUAUUAAGCCUGCAAAAGGCUCCAUUUAUAGGCUCUACUGCUGAAAAUGUUACGGUUUAUUUACAACGGAAAUAUUGGCAGCACAAUAUUAAUUUUUUUUAGGUAUGCAAUUUUUUUUUUAUCCAUUGGAUAUUUUGGUGUGAAUUCUAUUACCCAUAAGUUUAUCAUAUGAAUAAAAUAUAUUUUGGCGGUAAGGGUAUUUUUAGAAUUUCAACAGUCAACUGAUGAUCUACUUAACGAAAUACUAACAUCAGGGGAUGUACCUGUAAUUACAUGAAUACUUUUUAUCCGAUUGUCAAUAGACUAAACCUCAGGGGAGGUCCCUUAAAAUUACUCGG
rnacentral:lncRNA from 1 species